rnacentral:rRNA from 1 species
UAUGGUGCUCAUAUUAGUAAUGGAUAUACCUGUUCCCAUCUCGAACACAGAAGUCAAGCAUUAUUAAGCCGACGGUAGCCAAAAGUAAGAAUAGGUUGUGCCAAUA